rnacentral:rRNA from 1 species
GCGGACGGGUGAGUAACACGUGGGUAACCUACCUAUAAGACUGGGAUAACUUCGGGAAACCGGAGCUAAUACCGGAUAAUAUUUAGCUUCGCAUGAAGCAAUAGUGAAAGACGGUUCUGCUGUCACUUAUAGAUGGACCUGCGGUGUAUUAGCUAGUUGGUGAGGUAACGGCUCACCAAGGCAACGAUACAUAGCCGACCUGAGAGGGUGAUCGGCCACACUGGGACUGAGACACGGCCCAGACUCCUACGGGAGGCAGCAGUAGGGAAUCUUCCGCAAUGGACGAAAGUCUGACGGAGCAACGCCGCGUGAGUGAAGAAGGUUUUCGGAUCGUAAAACUCUGUUGUAAGGGAAGAACAAGUACGUUAGUAACUGAACGUACCUUGACGGUACCUUACCAGAAAGCCACGGCUAACUACGUGCCAGCAGCCGCGGUAAUACGUAGGUGGCAAGCGUUAUCCGGAAUUAUUGGGCGUAAAGCGCGCGUAGGCGGUCUCUUAAGUCUGAUGUGAAAGCCCCCGGCUCAACCGGGGAGGGUCAUUGGAAACUGGGAGACUUGAGUACAGAAGAGGAGAGUGGAAUUCCAUGUGUAGCGGUGAAAUGCGCAGAGAUAUGGAGGAACACCAGUGGCGAAGGCGGCUCUCUGGUCUGUAACUGACGCUGAGGUGCGAAAGCGUGGGGAUCAAACAGGAUUAGAUACCCUGGUAGUCCACGCCGUAAACGAUGAGUGCUAAGUGUUGGGGGGUUUC